UACAGAGGUCCCAAGCGUUGUUCGGAUUUACUGGGCGUAAAGGGUGCGUAGGUGGCGUGGUAAGUUCGAUGUGAAAUCUCCGAGCUCAACUCGGAAAUGGCAUUGAAUACUAUCCCGCUUGAGGGUCGGAGGGGAGACUGGAAUUCUCGGUGUAGCAGUGAAAUGCGUAGAUAUCGUAAGGAAGACCAGUGGCGAAGGCGAAUCUCUGGACAGUUACUGACACUGAGGCACGAAGGCCAGGGGAGCAAACGGG
rnacentral:rRNA from 1 species